rnacentral:rRNA from 1 species
UACGUAGGGGGCAAGCGUUGUCCGGAAUCAUUGGGCGUAAAGAGCGCGUAGGCGGCCCUGUAAGUCCGCUGUGAAAGUCAAGGGCUCAACCCUUGGAUGCCGGUGGAUACUGUCGGGCUAGAGUACGGAAGAGGCGAGUGGAAUUCCUGGUGUAGCGGUGAAAUGCGCAGAUAUCAGGAGGAACACCGGUGGCGAAGGCGGGAUCCUGGGCCAGUACUGACGCUGAGGAGCGAAAGCGUGGGGAGCAAACAGG